rnacentral:tRNA from 1 species
GCCUUUAUAGGCUAAUGGACAAACUGCCUGACUUCGAAUCAGGUGUUAUGAGUUCGAAUCUCAUUAAAGGCACUA